GGUCUCCGCCGAGCUGACGGCGUCCGUGGCCAAGCGGAAAUCCUUCAUCGGCACCCCCUACUGGAUGGCCCCCGAGGUGGCGGCGGUGGAGAAGAAGGGGGGCUACAACCAGCUGUGUGACAUCUGGGCGCUGGGAAUCACUGCCAUCGAGCUGGCCGAGCUGCAGCCCCCCCUCUUCGACCUGCACCCCAUGAGGGCCCUGAUGGUGAUGUCCACAAGC